GUAGGUGGCAAGCGUUGUCCGGAAUUAUUGGGCGUAAAGCGCGCGCAGGCGGUUCUUUAAGUCUGAUGUGAAAGCCCACGGGCUCAACCGUGGAGGGUCAUUGGAAACUGGAGAACUUGAGUACAGAAGAGGAAAGCGGAAUUCCACGUGUAGCGGUGAAAUGCGUAGAGAUGUGGAGGAACGCCAGUGGCGAAGGCGGCUUUCUGGUCUGUAACUGACGCUGAGGCGCGAAAGCGUGGGGAGCAAACAGGAUUAGAUACCCUGGUAGUCCACGCCGUAAACGAUGAGUGCUAAGUGUUAGGGGGUUUCCGCCCCUUAGUGCUGCAGCUAACGCAUUAAGCACUCCGCCUGGGGAGUACGGCCGCAAGGCUG
rnacentral:rRNA from 1 species